rnacentral:rRNA from 1 species
UACGUAGGGUGCGAGCGUUGUCCGGAAUUAUUGGGCGUAAAGAGCUCGUAGGCGGUUUGUCGCGUCGGCCGUGAAAACUUGGGGCUUAACUCCAAGCUUGCGGUCGAUACGGGCAGACUUGAGUUCGGCAGGGGAGACUGGAAUUCCUGGUGUAGCGGUGAAAUGCGCAGAUAUCAGGAGGAACACCGGUGGCGAAGGCGGGUCUCUGGUCCGAUACUGACGCUGAGGAGCGAAAGCGUGGGGAGCAAACAGG